AGAGUUUGAUCCUGGCUCAGAACAAACGCUGGCGGCGCGUUUUAAGCAUGCAAGUCGGACGGUAGGGUGGACUUCGGUUCACUUGAGAGUGGCGAACGGGUGAGUAACACGUAGGUGAUCUGCCCCUGGAUGAGGGAUAGUCCAUGGAAACAUGGGGUAAUACCGCAUGAGGCCUAUCUGGGUUAUCUGGGUGGGUUAAAGGCGCAAUUGUGCUGUCUGGGGAUGAGCCUGCGGUCCAUUAGUUAGUUGGCAGGGUAAAGGCCUACCAAGGCGUUGAUGGAUAGCCGGCCUGAGAGGGUGUACGGCCACACUGGGACUGAGAUACGGCCCAGACUCCUACGGGAGGCAGCAGCUAAGAAUCUUCCGCAAUGGGCGAAAGCCUGACGGAGCGACGCCGCGUGAACGAUGAAGGCCGGAAGGUUGUAAAGUUCUUUUCUUCAUGAAGAAUAAUGCGGGGAGUGGAAAGUCCUGCAGAUGACGUUAGUGAAGGAAUAAGCCCCGGCCAAUUACGUGCCAGCAGCCGCGGUAACACGUAUGGGGCGAGCGUUGUUCGGAAUUAUUGGGCGUAAAGGGCGUGUAGGCGGUUUUGCAAGCUUGGUGUUAAAGGCCUUGGCUUAACCGGGGUUUGGCGCUGAGAACUGCGAGACUAGAGUUCAGGAGGGGGAGCUGGAAUUCCAGGUGUAGGGGUGAAAUCUGUAGAUAUCUGGAAGAACACCGGUGGCGAAGGCGAGCUUCUAUCCAUGGACUGACGCUGAGGCGCGAAAGCGUGGGGAGCAAACAGGAUUAGAUACCCUGGUAGUCCACGCUGUAAACGAUGUGCACUGGGCGUUGGGUGUGAAUGAACACUCGGUGCCGUAGCUAACGCGUUAAGUGCACCGCCUGGGGAGUAUGCCCGCAAGGGUGAAACUCAAAAGGAAUUGACGGGGGCCCGCACAAGCGGUGGAGCAUGUGGUUUAAUUCGAUCAACUCGAAGAACCUUACCUGGGCUUGAACUGCAGUGGACAGCCUGUGAAAGCAGGUCUUCCUUCGGGACUGCUGUAGAGGUGCUGCAUGGCUGUCGUCAGCUCGUGUCGUGAGAUGUUGGGUUAAGUCCCGCAACGAGCGCAACCCUUGUCCUUAGUUGCCAUCAGUUCGGCUGGGCACUCAAAGGAGACUGCCCGGGAUGACCGGGAGGAAGGUGGGGAUGACGUCAAGUCCUCAUGGCCCUUACGUCCAGGGCUACACACGUGCUACAAUGGCCGGUACAGUGGGAAGCAAUACCGCGAGGUGGAGCCAAUCCCCAAAACCGGUCUCAGUUCGGAUAGGAGUCUGCAACUCGACUCCUUGAAGUCGGAAUCGCUAGUAAUCGUUGAUCAGCAGGCAACGGUGAAUACGUUCCCGGGCCUUGUACACACCGCCCGUCACGCCAUGAAAGUCGGGAGUACCAGAAGACGGUGGCCUAACCAAAAAAUG
rnacentral:rRNA from 1 species